UACAGAGGGUGCAAGCGUUGUUCGGAAUUAUUGGGCGUAAAGCGCGUGUAGGCGGCUUAGCAAGUCGGGCGUGAAAGCCCUCGGCUCAACCGAGGAAGUGCACCCGAAACUGCUGAGCUUGAGUGCCGGAGAGGAUGGCGGAAUUCCCCCAAGUAGAGGUGAAAUUCGUAGAUAUGGGGGAGGAACACCGGGUGGCGAAGGCGGCCAUCUGGACGGUAACUGACGCUGAGACGCGAAAGCGUGGGUAGCAAACAGG
rnacentral:rRNA from 1 species